rnacentral:rRNA from 1 species
GACGAACGCUGGCGGCGUGCCUAAUACAUGCAAGUCGAGCGAAUCAAUAGGAGCUUGCUCCUGUUGGUUAGCGGCGGACGGGUGAGUAACACGUGGGCAACCUGCCUGUAAGACUGGGAUAACACCGGGAAACCGGUGCUAAUACCGGAUAAUCCUUUUCCUCUCAUGAGGGAAAGUUGAAAGUCGGUUUCGGCUGACACUUACAGAUGGGCCCGCGGCGCAUUAGCUAGUUGGUGAGGUAACGGCUCACCAAGGCGACGAUGCGUAGCCGACCUGAGAGGGUGAUCGGCCACACUGGGACUGAGACACGGCCCAGACUCCUACGGGAGGCAGCAGUAGGGAAUCUUCCACAAUGGACGAAAGUCUGAUGGAGCAACGCCGCGUGAGCGAUGAAGGCCUUCGGGUCGUAAAGCUCUGUUGUUAGGGAAGAACAAGUACCGGAGUAACUGCCGGUGCCUUGACGGUACCUAACCAGAAAGCCACGGCUAACUACGUGCCAGCCGCCGCAGUAAAAC